UUUGUGCAACUUAAUUUCUUACAAUUCUAAUGCUUGAUGUAGAGCCCAAGGUCCGAAGGCCAUGUCGAUGAGGAAAAUCAUGAUGCUGAAUCUGAAGAUGAUGGUUCAGAUCACAAUGCUCAUUCUGAUGCAGAGGAAUUAUUGCUUGACAAUAGGCGUUCAGCAGCCCCAUCAGUGCAGCAACCUCCUCGGUCCCAACAAUGCAGCCCCACCAGUGUUGCCCCAGCAACCCUUCCAAGGAAUGAUG
rnacentral:lncRNA from 1 species